UAUAGAUGCCUGCUUUGCACGAGAAGCGGUGGAUCGAAUGAGUAAUGUCUAGGAAUCUGCCGUGGUAGUGGGGGAUAACGUUCGGAAACGGACGCUAAUACCGCACACGUCCUACGGGAGAAAGCAGGGGACCUUCGGGCCUUGCGCUAUCAGAUGAGCCUAGGUCGGAUUAGCUAGUUGGUGAGGUAAUGGCUCACCAAGGCGACGAUCCGUAACUGGUCUGAGAGGAUGAUCAGUCACACUGGAACUGAGACACGGUCCAGACUCCUACGGGAGGCAGCAGUGGGGAAUAUUGGACAAUGGGCGAAAGCCUGAUCCAGCCAUGCCGCGUGUGUGAAGAAGGUCUUCGGAUUGUAAAGCACUUUAAGUUGGGAGGAAGGGUUGUAGAUUAAUACUCUGCAAUUUUGACGUUACCGACAGAAUAAGCACCGGCUAACUCUGUGCCAGCAGCCGCGGUAAUACAGAGGGUGCAAGCGUUAAUCGGAAUUACUGGGCGUAAAGCGCGCGUAGGUGGUUUGUUAAGUUGGAUGUGAAAUCCCCGGGCUCAACCUGGGAACUGCAUUCAAAACUGACUGACUAGAG
rnacentral:rRNA from 1 species